GAUGAAGAACGCAGCAAAAUGCGAUAAGUAAUGUGAAUUGCAGAAUUCAGUGAAUCAUCGAAUCUUUGAACGCACAUUGCGCCCGCCAGUAUUCUGGCGGGCAUGCCUGUUCGAGCGUCAUUUCAACCCUCAAGCACAGCUUGGUGUUGGGACUCGCGUUAAUUCGCGUUCCCCAAAUUGAUUGGCGGUCACGUCGAGCUUCCAUAGCGUAGUAGUAAAACCCUCGUUACUGGUAAUCGUCGCGGCCACGCCGUUAAACCCCAACUUCUGAAUGUUGACCUCGGAUCAGGUAGGAAUGCCCGCUGAACUUAAGCAUAUCAAUAAGCGGAGGA
rnacentral:misc_RNA from 1 species